rnacentral:rRNA from 1 species
CUACGGGUGGCUCCAGUGGGGAAUAUUGCACAAUGGAGGAAACUCUGAUGCAGCAACGCCGCGUGGAGGAUGACACUUUUCGGAGCGUAAACUCCUUUUAUAUAGGAAGAUAAUGACGGUACUAUAUGAAUAAGCACCGGCUAACUCCGUGCCAGCAGCCGCGGUAAUACGGAGGGUGCAAGCGUUACUCGGAAUCACUGGGCGUAAAGAGCGUGUAGGCGGGUUAAUAAGUCAGAAGUGAAAUCCUAUGGCUCAACCAUAGAACUGCUUUUGAGACUGUUAACCUAGAGUGUGGGAGAGGUAGAUGGAAUUUCUGGUGUAGGGGUAAAAUCCGUAGAGAUCAGAAGGAAUACCGAUUGCGAAGGCGAUCUACUGGAACAUAACUGACGCUGAGACGCGAAAGCGUGGGGAGCAAACAGGAUUAGAUACCCGGGUAGUC